rnacentral:rRNA from 1 species
GAUGAACGCUAGCGGGAGGCCUAACACAUGCAGGCCGAGCGGUAUUGUUUCUUCGGAAAUGAGAGAGCGGCGUACGGGUGCGUAACACGUGUGCAACCUGCCUUUAUCUGGGGGAUAGCCUUUCGAAAGGAAGAUUAAUACUCCAUAAUAUAUUGAACGGCAUCGUUUAAUAUUGAAAGCUCCGGCGGAUAGAGAUGGGCACGCGCAAGAUUAGCUAGUUGGUGAGGUAACGGCUCACCAAGGCGAUGAUCUUUAGGGGGCCUGAGAGGGUGAUCCCCCACACUGGUACUGAGACACGGACCAGACUCCUACGGGAGGCAGCAGUGAGGAAUAUUGGUCAAUGGGUGCAAGCCUGAACCAGCCAUCCCGCGUGAAGGACGACUGCCCUAUGGGUUGUAAACUUCUUUUGUAUAGGGAUAAACCUACCCUCGAGAGGGUAGCUGAAGGUACUAUACGAAUAAGCACCGGCUAACUCCGUG